GAAAAAACUUAAAAUUAGACAAAUAAUUAGGGCCAAAAAACUAUACCGUGAAAUCAACAAAUUCAUUAAUACCAAAAAAAGAUUAGAUAGAAAAUAAUGAUUUUCAAAAAUUUAAUAUUAGUUUCGGCUUGUAAGGAAAGAUAAAGCGAAUACUCGAUUUAGUAAUUGGUUUGUUAAUAAAAAAAUUUGAAUCAACUCGGCUCGAAUCGGAUAUUUGGAAAGUCUUGCAUGUGAACUUUUUGAAAGGAAAAAUGUUGGAUAUGACAUUUGAAUGCUAUAUUUUGAUUUUGUUUCAUAUGAUUUUAUAUGGGGUUUUGCAUUUUAUGAUUUCAAAGUUAAGAUGUGCUUUGAUUUUGUGAGUUACAAAGUCAGAUUUGGAAGAGAAUUAGCAUAGGUGAGCUAUAUUUUGUUUGUAUAUCUGAAUUUGAAUAUAAUGAAUUGAGAUUGUGUUUAUGUUUCUUUGAUUAUUGAAUUUUUUUUUGUGUGAAGUUUGUAAAAUCCCAAAACCGAAUUUGAAAACGUAGUAUCAGUUUCUCCUCUUUAUUGGUCGGUGUCGGUUGUAAAAUAGUGCAAACCGUGAUUUUCGGUUCGGUUGACAGAAUAUCUCAAAACUGAACCAACCAGACCCAUGUACAACCUUUUUAGUAAUCCUGAUAUAUUUUGAUGCUGUUGGUGUUGAUAGGUGAUGAUUUUUGGUGUAUUGAC
rnacentral:misc_RNA from 1 species